rnacentral:rRNA from 1 species
GACGAACGCUGGCGGCGUGCUUAACACAUGCAAGUCGUACGGAAAGGCCCUGGCUUUGGUUGGGGUGCUCGAGUGGCGAACGGGUGAGUAACACGUGGGUGAUCUGCCCUGCACUUUGGGAUAAGCCUGGGAAACUGGGUCUAAUACUGGAUAGGACCAUGCUUUUGUGUGUCAUGGUGGAAAGGCUUCUUUUUGGGGCUGGUGUGGGAUGAGCUUGCGGCCUAUCAGCUUGUUGGUGGGGUAAUGGCCUACCAAGGCGUCGACGGGUAGCCGGCCUGAGAGGGUGUACGGCCACAUUGGGACUGAGAUACGGCCCAGACUCCUGCGGGAGGCAGCAGUGGGGAAUAUUGCACAAUGAGCGAAAGCCUGAUGCAGCGACGCCGCGUGAGGGAUGACGGCCUUCGGGUUGUAAACCUCUUUCGCUGGGGACGAAGCUUUUUUUGGUGACGGUACCUGGAGAAGAAGCACCGGCUAACUACGUG